AUGUAAAUUCCUACCAUGUCAAUCCAUCAUAUCCCAUUAGAACUCUAUAGUUAAGCGCUCUUGAGCUAGAGUAGUACUAGGAUGAGUGACCUCUCGGGAAGUCAUAGUGUUUUAGAUG
rfam:Picea glauca, whole genome shotgun sequence.